ACCUGAGGGCUGGGGGGUCAGCAGGGUCCCUCUGUCAAACAGGAUCCAGACUCCACAGAGGAGCACGCUCAGACCCACGACCUGCACAAAGAACAGAGGUCAAAGGUUUCAGACGUGCGUGAGGAAAAGCGGCUUCGGUAUGUGCAGCUUGUGGACUGUCAUGGCGUGCAGACUCGCUGUGGCUGCUCACAGACGCACGGCAGUUUCGGUCUCCCCGGACGACUGAACAUCAUCGUCAGAGGGGAAGAUGAAGUUUAAAACCACCGAGGUGAAGGUCAGCAGCUGAAGCUUCACGUCCAGCUUCAUCGCCAUCGCUCAGGACCUCCAACACUCCAGGGGGGACGUCAGCAGGUCCUAGUCUCUUCAGGAGGACGUCAGCAG